rnacentral:rRNA from 1 species
CCUUACCUGGUCUUGACAUCCCGGAGACCCUUAGGAAACUAGGGGUGCUUCCAUCUGGAAGAAUCUGGAGACAGGUGCUGCAUGGCUGUCGUCAGCUCGUGUCGUGAGAUGUUGGGUUAAGUCCCGCAACGAGCGCAACCCUUGCCUUUAGUUGCCAGCAGUUCGGCUGGGCACUCUAAAGGGACUGCCGGUGUUAAACCGGAGGAAGGUGGGGAUGACGUCAAGUCCUCAUGGCCUUUAUGACCAGGGCUACACACGUACUACAAUGGCCGAUACAAAGGGCAGCGACACUGCGAGGUGAAGCCAAUCCCGUAAAAUCGGUCUCAGUCCGGAUUGGAGUCUGCAACUCGACUCCAUGAAGUUGGAAUCGCUAGUAAUCGUGGAUCCAGCAUAGACCACGGUGAAUACGUUCCCGGGCCGUU